rnacentral:lncRNA from 1 species
CCCGACUCACCUAAGUACACCUGAUAGUUUUUGAUUUUUUUUUUAUUACCUUAUGGCUUUUCACAGACAAGACCUAAAGGUUUCAAACUGGUCCCCACGGACCAAAAGUAUAGGAGCGAAGCGACUAUACUUGUUAUAUAGGAGCGUCUGCGACUAUAUUAUGCACGCCACCUCGGGUCCGAAAAAUCGUGUUUUUUUGGAAAUAAAAAUUCAUAUCUUUGGCUGUAUGGUUAGCGAAACGAUGAAAUUUGGCAUAGGGUCUCUCAAUACAUUGAGAAUGAUGGAUCCGUAAACGAUUUUUUUUUCCGGUACCACCAAACGGAGCGGUACUGUCUCAAAGUCAAAAAUUCGUAAAAAAACGGGUCAAAUUCCUUUCAGACGCGAGAACUCAAAUAAAAAGCCUUUAAAAAACUUUAAAUUUUUGGGACAUAAGGGUCGGUGGGGGCUUAAGAACUGUAUACUUUUUGGGCCAGAUCGGUAUACAGGGUGAGUUGUUAUAAGCGAACAAAAGUGACUAAAAAAAAAAUUCAAACUUCUCCAGAGGCUAAAAAAAAAUUUUUAUAAAAAAAGUGUUUCGGCGAAAAGACUUCAUUUUAUAAGAGAUUUGACAUACUUGGAGCUUUUUUUUGUAAAAAAAUUAUUUUACGAGUUCUGGCAUUUUCAGUUUUUUGGAAUUUUCCGCCAAACGAUACUUAUUUUGAGAAAAUUUUUUUUUUCAAAAAAUAACUUCAUCUUUUACCUUUCAUAUGCCAUAUAACCGAAAUUUUUGGGAACCAUACAGGGCGAGCAAUAAUGUACUUUACCCAUGAAGGUCCGACCCGAAAAUCACAUUUUAUUUAAUAACUUUUUAGUGGUGGCACCUGGACCAUUUAUAUUCUCAGGGAUUAAAUACUUUAAUAACCCCAUUAUUUGUGUAAAAUUACAAUCUUCCAACAUUAAUAGGUUCUGAGCAAUUCGAAUUUUCGCGUUUAAUUCAUUUGCCACGUCCCUGUACAUGGUGAAAAGAUCAAACAACAUCUAAAGGAUCCGAAAUUUUGUUUUACAACACAUACUAAAAUUUCAGGGUUCCAGCGAUAGUACAAGUACCCGAAAAAUGCGAUUUUAUGAAAAAAGUCCAUUUUUUUGCGUUUUUGCAGGUAAUUGGAGGUGUCAACCUAAACUCUGAUGAAAUGGCUGGUGGGAACAAUACUUUGACGCAUGGUGGAUACAAAUUUUUUGCUCGUGACAGGUGGCCGGGACUUGGUUGGGUUUUUUGUAAAAUUAUGAAUGAAAAUGAACCGGAAACGAUCAGGGAAAGGAAGCACCGAAUCAGAAAAUGAAUGGGCUUUCCGAAUCUGUGCAUAUCAAUAGGGGAAAUUGUGUAUUGCGGCCAGGAAAAUUCGACAAACAUUUUGACGUCUUCGAAAAAUGCCGUUUUUUUGAAAUGUCAGUGUCUUUAUACCGGGGUGAGACGAAAUGAAAUUUGCCCGAUUAUUUUAUUAAAAUUAUUCGAAUAUAUACACGGGUCAGUCGUAAUGAUCUACUUAAUUUAAAAUAAGAAUUUAGAUAUUAGGUGAGUUUUUACUAUUUAGUUUAUUAUUAAUAAAUGUUAACAAUUCUUAAACAUUGCUUUUGGGAUAUAAAUAAAAAUUUUUUGAAAUUAUUGAUUUUUAAGGUUAGUCGAGUAUCAUAACUUUUUUGGUAUUGGUGCGAUUUGGUUGAAAUUUGGUACCUAGUACCUAUUUCGGAUAAGAUUAAUAAAUUUUUACAGAUAUUUGACAUGACUAUGUUUUAAGGUCACGUGAUUAUCAAAACUUUCUUCCUAUUUGUCCGAUUUGAUUGAAAUUUGGUAUUUGGGGUUUAUUUAGGAUGCAAUUAUUAAUUUUUCACAGAUAUUUGACAUUUGACUUCCAGGUCACGUGACUAUUGUAACUUUUUUGCUAUUGGUCUGAUUGGGUUCAAAUUUGGUAUUUGGGCUUUAUUUAAAAUGCAAUUAUUAAUUUUUGACAGAUAUUUGACAUUUGACUUCCGGGUCACGUGACUAUUGUAACUUUUUUGCUAUGAGUCCGAUUGGGUUCAAAUUUGGUAUUUAUGCUUUAUUUAGGAUACAAUUAAUAAAUUUUAACAGAUAAUUGACAAAUUAUAUUUUAAAGUCACGUGACUUUCAUAAUUCUUUUGCUAUUGAUCCGAUUGGGUUGAAAUUUAGUAUUUGAGCUUUAUUUAGGAUGCCAGUAAUACAUUUUGACAGAAAUUUGACAGAUUGAAUUUUAAAGUCACGUGACUUCCAUAACUUUUUUGCUAUUGAUCCGAUUGGGUUCAAAUUUGGAAUUUGGGGUUUAUUUAGGAUGCAAUUGUUGAUUUUUUACAAAAUUUUAAAAUAUUGAGUUCUAGGGUCACGUGACUAUCAAAAUUUCCUAUUUGAUUGAAAUUGGCUAUUAAAUGAUAUGUAUAUA